UGGGGAAUCUUGCGCAAUGGGCGAAAGCCUGACGCAGCAACGCCGCGUGAGCGAAGAAGGCCUUCGGGUUGUAAAGCUCUGUCAGGAGGGACGAAGCCACUCGGGUGAAUAGCCCAGAGGGUGACGGUACCUCCAGAGGAAGCCCCGGCUAACUACGUGCCAGCAGCCGCGGUAAUACGUAGGGGGCGAGCGUUGUCCGGAAUCAUUGGGCGUAAAGCGCGUGUAGGCGGCUUGGCAAGUCCGGUGUGAAAGCUCGAGGCUCAACCUCGAGUCUGCACUGGAAACUGACUUGCUAGAGUCCGGAAGAGGAGACUGGAAUUCCUGGUGUAGCGGUGAAGUGCGCAGAUAUCAGGAAGAACACCGGUGGCGAAGGCGGGUCUCUGGGACGGUACUGACGCUGAGACGGGAAAGCGUGGGGAGCAAACAG
rnacentral:rRNA from 1 species